rnacentral:misc_RNA from 1 species
GGCUGCCGGAAUGACGGGGAGAGGUUCGGUUUCUUUUGUCAUGCAGCUCUCGAGUUUUUACUACAAAAUGGAUUCCAUCCUGAUAUUAUCCAUUGUCAUGAUUGGUCUAGUGCUCCAGUUGCAUGGUUGUUUAAGGACCAUUAUAUGCACUAUGGCCUUAGUAAAGCUCGGGUUGUCUUCACAAUUCACAACCUUGAAUUUGGGGCAGGCAACAUUGGGAAAGCUAUGACAUAUUCUGACAAGUCUACAACUGUGUCCCCCACAUAUUCAAAGGAGGUUGCUGGAAAUCCUCCAAUUGCUCCUUAUCUCUACAAAUUCCAUGGAAUACUGAAUGGAAUUGAUCCAGACAUAUGGGAUCCUUAUAAUGACAAGUUCAUUCCUGUUUCCUACACAUCUGAGAAUGUUGUUGAAGGCAAAAGAGCAGCCAAGGAGGCGUUGCAGCAAAGGCUUGGUUUAAAGAAAGCUGAUCUCCCUUUAGUAGGGAUUAUCACUCGCCUAACACAUCAGAAAGGAAUCCAUCUCAUAAAGCAUGCAAUUUGGCGAACCUUAGAUCGCAAUGGACAGGUUGUAUUGCUUGGUUCAGCUCCAGAUCCUCGUAUCCAGAAUGAUUUUGUGAAUUUGGCCAAUCAAUUGCAUUCUUCUCAUAAUGACCGUGCUCGCCUUUGUUUGAAUUAUGAUGAGCCACUAUCACACUUGAUAUAUGCAGGUGCUGAUUUCAUUGUAGUCCCAUCAAUUUUUGAGCCAUGUGGACUGACCCAACUUACAGCUAUGAGAUACGGUUCGAUACCAGUUGUUCGAAAAACUGGAGGACUUUAUGACACUGUGUUUGAUGUUGACCAUGAUAAAGAGAGAGCACAAGCCCAAGGUCUUGAACCAAAUGGAUUUAAUUUUGAUGGAGCUGAUGCUACUGGCAUUGAUUAUGCACUAAAUAGGGCAAUUUCUGCUCGGUAUGAGGGUCGAGAGUGGUUUAACUCGUUAUGUAAAACUGUGAUGGAGCAAGACUGGUCUUGGAAUAAGCCUGCUCUUGAUUACAUGGAGCUUUACCAUGCUGCACGCAAGUGAAAAGAACAGGUCCUGGGAGGGUGAUAUGCAGCUCAAUUCCACACACCAUAUUCUGUACAGGUUCAGCGCAUUGAUUACUUGCACAUAAAUAGUCCACUCAAAAUAAAGCAAGGUAAUCUGGUGAUGCCAGUUUUAAAGCUUGAAAUGGCUCAUCCAUAUUUGUGUUUUAGUGCAGAAAAUGUACAUCACAGAAAAUUUUGAAUUGGUUACUGUACGAGGUUGAUGUGAUUUUUAUACCGGUCCCAGUUGUAAAUAAGUGUGAAUUGGUUAGUCACACUAGCAUUGGACAAAUGGGAUAGUUUUUCAAGGCUGAAAUGAGGGAUUGGUACCUGUUUAGCAAUAAUGCAGCUGUCCAAUCAAUCUUUUUGGUUGUGGCUUUCUUAA